rnacentral:rRNA from 1 species
CCUACGGGAGGCAGCAGUGAGGAAUAUUGGUCAAUGGCCGGAAGGCUGAACCAGCCAUGCCGCGUGAAGGUCAGUGCCCUAUGGGCGUUAAACUUCUUUUGUGCGGGAGCAAUAAUGGUCACGUGUGGCCAGACGAGAGUACCGUACGAAUAAGCAUCGGCUAACUCCGUGCCAGCAGCCGCGGUAAUACGGGGGAUGCAAGCGUUAUCCGGAUUUAUUGGGUUUAAAGGGUGCGUAGGCUGUGAGGUAAGUCAGCGGUGAAAUGCCCCCGCUCAACGGGGUGAAGUGCCAUUGAUACUGCCUUGCUGGAAUGCGGAUGCCGUGGGAGGAAUGUGUGGUGUAGCGGUGAAAUGCAUAGAGAGCACACAGAACACCGAUUGCGAAGGCAGCUCACGAAUCCGCGAUUGACGCUGAUGCACGAAAGCGUGGGUAUCAAACAGGAUUAGAUACCCCUGUAGUC